GCUGGCAGCCAUAUCACCCUGUAGCCCAAGACUGGUCACCCACUGAAGCCAAGCAGGGUUGAGCCUGGUCAGUACCUGGAUGGGAGACCUCCUGGGAAAACUAGGUUGCUGCUGGAA
rnacentral:rRNA from 1 species